CUGAGAGUGUUUAUAGUGCUGUGAGUUUAACACUUCAUCACUGAGAGCUUUUCUUCAUUCAAACUGAAAUUAAACCACCAACAAGCAGAAUGAUGAUCAUCAGCGUCUGUAUCUGGACUCUCAUUCUUUCUGUUCAAGGAAUUACAGGACAAGUUUCUGUGACUCAGACUCCCUCAGCAGCAGCUGUUCAACCAGGAGAAACAGUUACUAUAAACUGUAAAACUAGCAGAGGAAUUGGAGAUCGUUCAGCGGGUUGCCGUAAAUGUCUCGCCUGGUAUCUGCAGAAACCUGGAGAAGCUCCUAAACUCCUCAUUUAUUACAUUAAUUCACGACAGUCAGGAACUCCAUCUAGAUUCACUGGCAAUGGAGCAGAUUAUGGAACAGAUUUCACUCUGACCAUCAGUGGAGUCCAGACUGAAGAUGCUGGACAUUAUUACUGUCAGAGUCGACACUAUAUCAACAGUAACUGGGUGUUCACACAGUGAUAAAGAGUCGUACAAAAACCUCCGUCAGUCAGAGUCACAGUGACUGAACUGAUACUGCAGCUGCUCACACACUUUCACACACUUUCACACACUACUGACACACAGAGGACAAACACAGGAACUACACAUGUGCUCAAAACUGACUUGUGACUGAAAUCAGCUCUAUUAGACUGUGAUCUGUCCUGUGACAGACGGGUUUGACUCAAAUAUGCUCAGAAUCAGAGAAAACAGAGUGUGUAAAUUGAUAUGUAGAUUCAUAUGUUGUUUUGUUUUUGUACAUUAAACUACACUAAAGUCAUGGUGUAUCAGUAACAUGCAGAUGUUUUUCAAGCAGCUCCUUCAUCUAAAGCUGUUUCUAAAUGUAUUACUCAUAACUCAUUUCUCAUGAGCAGAAGUGAAAGUGUUCCAGUUGAGAGCGUUGAACCAAUCAAAGAGUGAAACUGUGAGUUUGAGCUGAAAAUCACAUUUGCAUUGGCAGGUUUAGUGAUUGUGAUCCUCUCAGAAUAGAGCAGCUCCGUCUCCAGUGACCAUGU